GUACCACAUGCAAAUUCACUUAUGUUGUUUGUUCUCAUUUGGUUGAUCGGUAAAAGCCCUUAAAUUAUGAAAGGGUAAGUAGGCGUCACCGACGUAAAUCUUAUAUCAUAGAUCUAUAUUAUAUAUGCUUUUGGCUGGAACACAACAUAUAGGACUACUUUCAUGGUUGUUUUCUCCCACGUACACCACAGACGACCCACCUCAACCUCCAAACGGCAGGUAGCUAAAUACGUCCUUAGCUGUCGUUCAUAUAUAGUUCUUGGCAACAAAUUAAGAGGGAAAGAAAAACCAUCAAAACAAGAAAACAAGACAAAACAAAAGCAAAAAGGUAAUGCAAAUCAGUGAGCGUGGUGGAAUAAUUAGCUCAUGAAUCAAAGUCAUAGUCACAGUCAACUAUACCUUAAAACUGAUCAAAGGUUUUUAUCAUUGUCUCUAUGUUUAACAGUCAUAAUAGGGAUGUUACUACUAAAAUGAGAUUAUUUUAUAUUUUUUGGCUUAUAUGUUAUGUGUGACCCUAUCAAAGUAGAAUAUACUAAACAAAUCAGGUAGCUAAAAACUAAGGGCGG
rnacentral:lncRNA from 1 species